rnacentral:rRNA from 1 species
CCGGUAGCCCCACUAGUCUGAGAUACCACUUGGAAACAGGUGCUAAUACCGGAUAAGAAAGCAGAUCGCAUGAUCAGCUUUUAAAAGGCGGCGUAAGCUGUCGCUAUGGGAUGACCCCGCGGUGCAUUAGCUAGUUGGUAAGGUAAAGGCUUACCAAGGCGAUGAUGCAUAGCCGAGUUGAGAGACUGAUCGGCCACAUUGGGACUGAGACACGGCCCAA